AUUGAACGCUGGCGGCAGGCCUAACACAUGCAAGUCGAGCGGAUGAGUGGAGCUUGCUCCAUGAUUCAGCGGCGGACGGGUGAGUAAUGCCUAGGAAUCUGCCUGGUAGUGGGGGACAACGUUUCGAAAGGAACGCUAAUACCGCAUACGUCCUACGGGAGAAAGCAGGGGACCUUCGGGCCUUGCGCUAUCAGAUGAGCCUAGGUCGGAUUAGCUAGUUGGUGAGGUAAAGGCUCACCAAGGCGACGAUCCGUAACUGGUCUGAGAGGAUGGUCAGUAACACUGGAACUGAGACACGGUCCAGACUCCUACGGGAGGCAACGGGGGGGAAUAUUGGACAAUGGGCGAAAGCCUGAUCCAGCCGUGCCGCGUGUGUGAAGAAGGUCUUCGGAUUGUAAAGCACUUUAAGUUGGGAGGAAGGGCAGUAAGUUAAUACCUUGCUGUUUUGACGUUACCGACAGAAUAAGCACCGGCUAACUUCGUGCCAGCCGCCGCCGUAAGA
rnacentral:rRNA from 1 species